rnacentral:rRNA from 1 species
GACGAACGCUGGCGGCGUGCCUAAUACAUGCAAGUAGAACGCACAGUUUAUACCGUAGCUUGCUACACCAUAGACUGUGAGUUGCGAACGGGUGAGUAACGCGUAGGUAACCUGCCUGGUAGCGGGGGAUAACUAUUGGAAACGAUAGCUAAUACCGCAUAAUAUUAAUUAUUGCAUGAUAAUUAAUUGAAAGGUGCAAUUGCACCACUACCAGAUGGACCUGCGUUGUAUUAGCUAGUAGGUGAGGAAACGGCUCACCUAGGCGACGAUACAUAGCCGACCUGAGAGGGUGAUCGGCCACACUGGGACUGAGACACGGCCCAGACUCCUACGGGAGGCAGCAGUAGGGAAUCUUCGGCAAUGGACGAAAGUCUGACCGAGCAACGCCGCGUGAGUGAAGAAGGUUUUCGGAUCGUAAAGCUCUGUUGUAAGAGAAGAACGGGUGCGAGAGUGGAAAGUUCACACUGUGACGGUAUCUUACCAGAAAGGGGCGGCUAACUACGUG